rnacentral:rRNA from 1 species
GACGAACGCUGGCGGCGCGCUUAACACAUGCAAGUCGAACGGAAAGGCCUGCUUUCCCUUGUGGAUUGCGGGUACUCGAGUGGCGAACGGGUGAGUAACACGUGAGUGAUCUGCCCCCAACUUGGGUAUAAGCCUGGGAAACUGGGUCUAAUUCCCAAUAGGACUGCAGGGUGGUGCCUGUGGUGGAAAACGAUUUUCUAGUGGUUGGGGAUGAGCUCGCGGCCUAUCAGCUUGUUGGUGGGGUAAUGGCCUACCAAGGCGGCGACGGGUAGCCGGCCUGAGAGGGUGGACGGCCACAUUGGGACUGAGAUACGGCCCAGACUCCUACGGGAGGCAGCAGUGGGGAAUAUGACACAAUGGGCGGAAGCCUGAUGCAGCGACGCCGCGUGGGGGAUGACGGCCUUCGGGUUGUAAACUCCUUUCGACCGCGAGGAAGCCACCUGGUUGGAAGGGUGGUGACGGUAGUGGUAGAAGAAGCACCGGCUAACUACGUG